CUGUCCACCAUGCGAUGGACAGUCUCUAUUUGGCCAGGACCUGUGCCGUGCUGCCUUGCCUUAGAGUCAGCCGACUUUGGACUGAAAUCUCUACAAACUGAAGAAAACAGGAAAUGAAGCAAGGAACCGAGUCGCAGCAUUAACCCCUGGGAGCAGUAAAUAAGUGUCUUAUGAAAAUGAAGAUUAAUUAGUCCCUUGAACUUAUCACUCGCCAUGUAUCACGCUUCACUCGGUGUUUUACACUGGCUUGCUUCGAUUUUUACAGCAAAGUUAUGCAAGCCAUACACAGAUCCUCUUCGAUUUUCCUGAGUUGAUCAGUUUGAAGACGAUCAAAAGCAAUAACUCUUGGCGAAGAUUCAACUAAGAAAACAGGUUGUCAGAGCAUUCACCUAGACAGCUUAUGUCAUUUUGUUGCCAAAUGUUGGAGCCAUCAAAAACGCUGCCAAAUUUAGGAUAUUCAGCUUUAGACUUCUGGCCUGAAGACCAUGAACUCCGCGCCUCCGAAGAAUAAUGUUCCUCUGACUAGCAGGAGACCACUUUGCAAUCCACUUAGCUGAGGGUUAAGAGGAUUGUGAGAAAGCAAUCAUGAGAAAAGAGAAGCAGAUUCAUGGUGCAGCUCUGAUGCAGGAGGAAGAUCCAUUCUUCUAGGAAGACUUGAACUGGCCUGCAUCUCAUUCCAUGUCCACAAAGACUUUCUUCAUCAUUUCAUCUAGUAAUGAUACUGCACAGAGUGUCGCAUAGGCUUCUUUAAUGUCCUGAACAAGUAAGUGGUGAAGCCAUACAGAAAAGGCACAAAUUUGUACAGAAAGUACAAAUUUAUCAAAGGAAUAAUGAAAUGCUCUACAUAGUGAAAACAGGGAGGUGAAAAGGUUCAUGGCACCCCCAGGGAUAAGGGAAAGGGGUAUUGUACAUUCAGAAUUCCCUAGUUACUACUCUUUUAUGUAAAUAAGGCAUUGGGAAAGACACUCUUUCAAAAACUUUGCAUCAGGCUAUGUGUAAAUGCUAACAAAAACUCACUUGGCUUCCUGUCAUAUGUAAAUAAAGGAUCAGCAGUAGUGUUUUCUGAUUGGUUGCACUUGUAUGCAAAUGAGGAAUUGAAGAGAAAAAACUUCUGAUUGGCCCUGUGAACAACAGCAAGAUUGAAAUGAAAUAUUAAUGCAGCAAAGCUCUGAUUGGCUCAAAAUAGCACUUUUCUGAUUGGUUAUAGGUACAGUGAUAAUGGCAUUACUGUAUUGGAACUACCCCUCCCCCUUCUCUUGUUUCACUAUCAUCAAUUUUACACUUCCCAGCAUUCAUUCAUUACUCCUUACAAGCAUGCAAAGAACCCUAUCUUCUACCUCUGAAAACCACCAUUCUAGAGCCACCUUAAAAUGACAAGACAUGUGUUUAUUCCCUGUCCCACUGCAGCACCUGUCUUCUCUAUUGAUCAAAAAUUCCUAAGUUCUUAGUAGCAUUCUUCUGUUCACUUGUCCCAGGAAACUUUUGGAUAACAUAUUUCACCCUACAAAUCCCUCUACUUUACUUUCUUUACAACUUUUUAACUCCCCUGAGGCUACAAUCUUCUGGCCUUUCUAUUUCAAGUUCUCCUCACCCACUGUUUACUCUAUCUGUUGUUUAAGUCAGUUUCUCAGAAGACAGUUCCAGCCUUGUUUUUCAUCUGUCUCCCAUUCCUUCUCUCUCACCUUGCACGGUGAUUUAAAGUCUGAAUCAAGGCAGGGAAUGUGAUUUCUCUAAGGAUACUGAGCCUCGUGUGUUUACACAUACCAGUCUAACAGUA